CACGUAGUUAGCCGGGGCUUCUUAAUCAGGUACUGUCACUUUCUUCCCUGCUGAUAGAGCUUUACAUACCGAGAUACUUCAUCGCCCACGCGGCGUCGCUGCAUCAGGGUUUCCCCCAUUGUGCAAUAUUCCCCACUGCUGCCUCCCGCAGGAGUCUGGGCCGUGUCUCAGUCCCAAUGUGGCCGGCCGCCCUCUCAGGCCGGCUACUGAUCGUCGCCUUGGUGGGCCCGUUACCCCGCCAACCGAGCUAAUCAGACGCGGGCCCAUCCCAUACCACCGGAGUUUUCCCCAGGAAGCUAUGCAGCCUCCUGGGCGUAUGCGGUAUUAGCAGCCGUUUCCGGCUGUUAUCCCCCGGUAUGGGGCAGGUUGCCCACGCGUUACUCACCCGUCCGCCACUCAGACAAUUACCGUUCCUCCCGAAGGGAAUCCCUGUAACCGCUUCGUUCGACUUGCAUGUGUUAAGCACGCCGCCAGCGUUCAUCCUGACGCAGGACUCAAACUCU
rnacentral:rRNA from 1 species